CGAAAGCAGAAACCGAGGUGGCCGGGGGCACGGGUCAGUAGCUGAGGGUGGAGUCAUCCCACUCCAGCUGCUGCUGCCGGGUUGCGUUCUGGGGGUCGCCCUGCUCCCCCUCCUCCUCCUCGCUGCUCUCCGACUCGGCGCUGGUGAUGUCAUCCUCUUCUUCGCCGUCCUCGCUUUCCUCUUCCUCUUCCUCUUCCUCCUCCUCCUCACUGCUGUGCUGGUCCUCAUAG
rnacentral:lncRNA from 1 species